rnacentral:snoRNA from 1 species
ACGAAGUGAUGAUUAAUAUUCAUAUCUGUCAAUCCUCUGAAGCAUUUUAUGAUGUCUUUGUGAAUAUCUCGACAGGUUCUGAUCGU